GUCGAUGUGGCGGAAUUGGUAUACGCGCUAGGUUUAGGUUCUAGUGAGGCAACUCUUGAAGGUUCAAGUCCUUUCAUCGACA
rnacentral:tRNA from 1 species